rnacentral:rRNA from 1 species
GCGAGAGCAAGCGGACCUCAUAAAGUGCGUCGUAGUCCGGAUUGGAGUCUGCAACUCGACUCCAUGAAGUCGGAAUCGCUAGUAAUCGUGGAUCAGAAUGCCACGGUGAAUACGUUCCCGGGCCUUGUACACACCGCCCGUCACACCAUGGGAGUGGGUUGCAAAAGAAGUAGGUAGCUUAACCUUCGGGAGGGCGCUUACCACUUUGUGAUUCAUGACUGGGGUGAAGUCGUAACAAGGUAACCGUAGGGGAACCUGCGGUUGGAUCACCUCCUUACCUGAAAGAAGC